CCGACUCCUUCCCCUGACCCUCCGAGGCGGUGCUGUCCCUGACCGUACGGCUGGAGCUAGGGUUCAGAGAUGGGCAGUGAGAAGGAGCAGAGCCCAGAACAGCACCUGCCUGAGGAAGGGGAACGGGGUAAUAAGCCCUGGAGAGUGGAUGACUCAGAGGGUUCUUGGAUCCCAGAUGGGGAGAAAGAGCAUGGGCGAGCAAGCCUGUCAGAGGGGCCACGAGGGCUCUAUCCAGAGAAGCCACCGCAGGACGCCACUGUCCCCGCUGGAGAGCCAGAGGACCUCUCUGCUCAUCCGAGGCCCGAGGCCGAUGAGAAGCCCUUUAUAUGUGCCCAGUGUGGCAAAACCUUCAAUAAUACCUCCAACCUGAGAACACACCAGCGGAUCCACACAGGCGAGAAACCCUACAAGUGUUCUGAGUGUGGCAAGAGCUUCUCGAGGAGCUCCAACCGCAUCCGGCACGAGCGCAUCCACCUGGAGGAGAAGCACUAUAAGUGCCCCAACUGCGAGGAGAGCUUCCGGCGGCACUCGGACCUCACCACGCACCAGCAGGACCACCUGGGCAGGCGGCCCUUCCGCUGCGACAUCUGCGGCAAGAGCUUCAGCCAGAGCUCGGCGCUGGCCGUGCACUACCGGACCCACCUGGAGCCGGCGCCCUACAUCUGCUGCGAGUGCGGGAAGAGCUUCAGCAACAGCUCCAGCUUCGGCGUGCACCACCGCACCCACACGGGUGAGCGGCCCUAUGAGUGCGCCGAGUGCGGGCGGACCUUCAGCGACAUCUCCAACUUUGGGGCGCACCAGAGGACCCACAGGGGCGAGAAGCCCUACCGGUGCACGCUGUGCGGGAAGCACUUCUCCCGCAGCUCCAAUCUCAUCCGCCACCAGAAAACUCACCGAGGAGAGCAGGCUGGGAAAGAUGCCAGCUGAAGAGGGCAAGGAAGAGAGAGAGCAGAGCGUGGGACCCCAACCUAGUGCAGAAAGGUCUUUAGGAUCUCCUGCUGCCCCCUUGACCUCAAGCCCUUCCUCCCACUUUGGAGAAUGGUUUUCUGUUGCCUCUGAAGCCAGGAUCUCCAGGAAGUCCUGAGAAGGGACUCUUGAGUAAAAAUCUUCACUUUUUUCCAGGCCGAUUUCUUGUGGUAGAAAGUCAGAGGACCCCGUCUUGGCUUCACCUCCUUGGGGUGAAAGAGAAAUAAGUCUGGAGCCCUGCUCUUCCAGAGUGAGGGGCCCUCCUCAUUUGUAGCCAGUUGGCAGAAUGUGACUCUGGCACUGCUGAUGACCUGACCUAUCACACGGGAUCUCGCCGCCUCCCCAGGAAGGGAUACGCCAGUCAUCAUCCUAUUCUCACAACAGCCCUGUCAAGUAAGGAUUACCCACAUUUGACAGAUGCAGAAACAGGCUUACAUGGCAAGUCAGUGGCAGGGUCAGGAACCUAACCUACUUCUACCCAAACCCAAAGCCUGUAUUUUUUGUAACCAUAAAAGACGACUUCCCAAACAAUUCCCUGACAUUUUGUAGGAUCCUUUUCAGUUUACAAAGCACUUUUAUUUCAUGUACAUUUUCCUGCUCCUUGAAAAUCUCCAUACAAAAUAUUUUAAACAUAUAGUCACCCAACUUGCAUGUAUGAAUUGCUCCCUAAUAAUAGAAGUUGCCAGGGACUUCCCUGGAGGUCCAGUGGUUAAGACUCCAUGCUUCCACUGCAGGGGGCACAGGUUCGAUCCCUGGUUGAAGAACUAAGAUCCCGCAUGCCAUGUUGCCAAAAUAAAUAAAUAAAACUUUAAAAAGUUGCCAUCUAACAGCUACUGAAUGCCAGUUAUUAUACACCAUUAUUUCUGAUCUCCAUGACUAGUCUGCAAAGUAGUAGUAUCCCCAUUGUCAAGAUAAGGAAGUUCUGAGGGGUUAAAUGACCUGACCUAAUGGCUGAGCUGGGAUUCCAAUCAGGUGUGUCUGAUUCCAAGGCCAGCUCUUCAUUUUGCUCAUUACCAAGCUAGGUCUGCUGUUCUCCUCUCAGUCUGGGGAGCUUGGUAAUCCUUCCAGACCCAGAGCCUUAGUGACAACUGCUGUGAUUCUUUUGGAGUCUGCUGCCAGUGAGACCCAGGACCUGCUUUGAUCUUGGGACAUAACUUGCUGGCCGAUCUCAUUUGCCCUUUUUUGACCAAGUUCAUAGGCUAGGUUUUCUGUGUUGGUCCAGGCUAUUGAGUCCUGACUAGUCCAUUUAUUCGCUCUCUGACUUCCUUUUUUGCUAGCUUCCUUUAUUUUCUCCUUCAUUCCCUUUUCCUCUUCCCUUUCUUCUCCCUUUCCUCUCCCCUUCUUUCUUCCCUCCCCACUUCCUUCCUCUCUCUCUUCCUCCUAGUUGCUAGGAAUACUGACAGUGAAGUUGUGGCUCCUGUGUUCUCUGAUGUGGGGUGGCUGUCAGGCUUCAACAACACGCAAACCUGGAAGGGUGGGGCCCUCAUCAGCUCCUGGCACUUGAUCCUGGUGUGGUGGCCACCCGCAGGCUCCCUGCCCCUAGACCGAAUUCACAUGAAGCCCUUUCCCUCCCGUCAACCUUAUGGCCUUCAUGCAAUUCAGUUCCAUCCACCAACAUUUAUCAAGCGGCUGUUAUGUGUCAGGAAGCAGGGGGUUCUCCCCGCCUCACCUAAGGGAGUUUUAACUGGAUGCCCGACAGGGUCCAGAACAGGGAAGGGAGGUUGGGGGUAGGCAGGGAGAAGGGAAAAGCUGUGCACACUUAGCCUAUGUUCAGGCCCUCUUUCUUGCCUCAGCACUGGAGGAACUUGACCCCUGAACUCUCUCCCCCGUGAUAGGAAAGGUACAAGGGACAUCAGUACAGCCAUAGGCAGAGCCCAUGGACCCCAACUUCUGUUGGAACAGGCAGUCAUGCCUGGUCUCUUUCUGCUCUGAAAAUUCUGGGUUCCUUCUGCUAUGAGAUCCCAGAUGAAAGGAGAGACCCACGUGCACUUUUACCCACAGGCCUUGCCGCCUACCAUCCAAUACUCACUCCUUGGAAUCAAGGCAUUUCCCCAGAGUCUCUAGUCAACAGGGAGACAUUAACCCAUUACUGUUUGGGUAACAUAACUUCUUUCCCAUUCACGAUCACAAUACAGUAGUGCAGGCAAAUUACAGGAUUGCUUUUGUCAGAGCCUGGAAGAGAGGCCUGGAGCCAAUCCUACACACAUCUGGGUAUUGGAAAAUAGUGAUUAUAACAGCAUUUACUAUUGAGCCUAAUUUCUAAAUCUUCACAAUUCUGCAAGGUAAUUAUUGUUUCCAUUUUGCAGAUGAUGAAAUUGAGGUUCAGUUAGAUCAAGUGACUUGCUCAUUUAAGGUCACAUGGCUGCUAGGUGGCUCACCUGGGAUUUUAACCAACCCAGGCCUCAUACUAAUGCCUUCUUAAUGACCGCAUUGUCGUUAAGCCUUGCUCCCUGGACCCCCGCUCC